rnacentral:rRNA from 1 species
AUUGAACGCUGGCGGCAGGCCUAACACAUGCAAGUCGAGCGGAUGAAGGGAGCUUGCUCCUGGAUUCAGCGGCGGACGGGUGAGUAAUGCCUAGGAAUCUGCCUGGUAGUGGGGGAUAACGUCCGGAAACGGGCGCUAAUACCGCAUACGUCCUGAGGGAGAAAGUGGGGGAUCUUCGGACCUCACGCUAUCAGAUGAGCCUAGGUCGGAUUAGCUAGUUGGUGGGGUAAAGGCCUACCAAGGCGACGAUCCGUAACUGGUCUGAGAGGAUGAUCAGUCACACUGGAACUGAGACACGGUCCAGACUCCUAAGGGAGGCAGCAGUGGGGAAUAUUGGACAAUGGGCGAAAGCCUGAUCCAGCCAUGCCGCGUGUGUGAAGAAGGUCUUCGGAUUGUAAAGCGCUUUAAGUUGGGAGGAAGGGCAGUAAGUUAAUACCUUGCUGUUUUGACGUUACCAACAGAAUAAGCACCGGCUAACUUCGUG